UCGCCGUUGAGCGCCAUGGCUUCAGCGGUCAGGUUUUCCGUCGUUUCUAGAUUUCGAUUCGUCUGUUAGGGCUCGGUUUAUUCCUGCGAUAUUGAUGAUUUAUUUCGAUGGAUUACGUUUGUUAUCGGUGUGUGAUUUUAGGGUUUGGAUUCUUGGCGAUGGGGAUUUUUCUUGCCAGGUUAAAAUUUUUGAUCUAACGAUGCUUGAAGGUUGAAUUUCCUUAUAUAUUUCAAUUUUUUGGAUUGCGUUUCCGGUUUUGAUUCAUCUGUUUGGGAUUGAUUGAUUGAUUCUGCGUUCGUAGUGCUGUCGGUGUGUUUCUAGGGUUUGGUGGCUGGAUUCGUGGCAAUCGCCUCAUUCUAACAGGUUUAAUAAAGUUUGGAUCUGUCGGUGUGUUUCUAGGGUUUGUUGGCUGGAUUCGUGGCAAUCGCCUCUUUCUAACAGGUUUAAUAACGUUUGGAUCUGAUUAUUUUUCAAAGGUUGCGAAUUCCCAAUCGAAUUUUGUGGAUAUUGAUGGAUUUUGAUAUCUCAUCUUAAAUCUGUUGAUCUGCUUUUGGGUUUUUUGAUUUGGUGUGGUGGUUCCAGGGCGUUUUGGAUUCAAUAACUGGUUCAGCUAGGAGUUCGAUUUGAAGAUUCUCUAUUUACCCUGGGUUUUUGCGUAUCUUCUGUUACCUCAUUGAAGUUUAUGAAAUGAUGAUUUAGUUUAGAAAUUUUGAUCCCCAUCCCAUAUAUGUCCGAAUAAAUGGAGCUUUGUUGUUAACUUUCAGGCAUGGAUUGCGGGUUUCAGUCGCAUAGAUGUCUUAAGACUCGAGCGGUUAGGUAUUGUAUUUGGCUAAUGUUUUGAUGGCGUUCUUGUGUGAUUGCUCUGUGGUUGGGUUUGUACUCCUGUUUUCGCGAUAAAAAUCUUUUGAUGCCUCCCUUUCUUCUUAAAUGUUUAUUUUCCUCCUCUCUCAUUCAAAAAUCGUUCUAAAUUUUAUUACCUUCUAUUGGCAGAUACUAAAUUGGGAAUUUGUACGGUAUUAUCAAGCUGGCAUUAUUUUACACGUAAAUUGGGAAUAUGUUCAAAUCGGGUUUAAUGUCCUCAAUAUUGAUUAUUUCCAUUCAAUUCUGCAUCUUUUUGCAGUCGCUCGUUUUCAGAUCUUUUUAUUUCUUUCCUCAGAUUUAUUUUCCUAUCUCAGAAAAUGUUUGGCCUACGUUUAUUUUUGUUUAGCAGCUACUUUUUAAUUUUUAUUCCUAAAUAAAUAUUGGCUAUUAUGUAUUUUAAGGCUUCUUGCCCACAGCUUUUGUUUUAUAGUUCUAAGAGUCUUGAAGGUUUCGUUUUUUGUUUAGCAGCGUCUUAUGCAAAUGCGUUCUAAUUCUUCUUAGCCAGUCACAGCUAAGAUUUUUUGUAGAUGAAAAAUGUUUCAGGGAGCUGGAGGUGUCUCGGUUUGUUUAUGCACCCUGCUUGGCUUCUUGUUUCUGUUAAAUGUCCAUUACAUUCGAUUGCUGUGUUGUCCUGCCCUUGAUGUUUAGUGCAGAUUCAUCAACAGGGUUCUAACUUCACUCUAUGAGUGGGCACUUAAAGAAGGGGUUUCUCUUGGCUUUUGAUUCUUUUUUUUUUUGUAUUUUAGAGCGUAUAGGUUUUGUGCCACAAUCUGAGCAGUUCUUUUGUCUGCAGACACAUUUUAUUCUUGUUGAGGGAGAGCUGGGUGUUUCAAAGAUGGGGUUUGAGUGGUUCUGAGUGUGAUUUAACUUUUAUGAAUUUGAGCCAUUGUUAUAUCAAUGAUCUUAUUAAAAAAAUUUCUGGUUACAGUUUCGCUGGGUCGAGGAAAAUGGCUGCCUGAUUUAAAGGGGGUUUGUUUCUUUGCUUAUGUUUUAACUGUAUUCUUAGGGCUUAUGAGAUCUAGCACCAUUAUUUGUGGAAUAUUCUUUGCAGAUGAUGUAUCUUGUUUGUUUAUGAAGUCUAAUCUUGUUGGAGCAGAACAUGCUGGUUUGGAGGGGGUCUAAGUGCUUUCUUGCUUUUUAAUUGAAUACUCAUUCAUUUGAUUUGUUUGGUCCUACGUUUGUGUCUACCCAUUCUUGUUUGUAUGCAGAUGUGGGUCGAAGUGCACCUUGUUAGGAUUCUACAGUUUGGGAGCUUUGUGUGGCUUGGUUUGUUUAUUCACCCUGAUUGGCUUCUUGUUUCUGUUAAAUGACCAUUACAUUCGAUUUCUGUGCUGUCCUUCCUUUGGUGUCUUAUGCAGAUGCAUAGCUGAGUCCUAACUCUAUCCAUCCCUAGUAAAGAGUGUCGGAGUUUCACUUCUUUAAAACAUGAGCGGGCAGAAUUUUAAUAGGGGGUUCCUCUUGGCUUAUGAUUCUAUUUUUGUAUUUUAGAGCGAAUGGAUCUUGCCAUAAUCUGAGCAAUGUUUCCUUAUGCAGACACAUUCUAAUCUUUUUGGAAGGAGAACAUGCUGCUUCAAAGCGGGGGUUUGAGUGGUUUUCGAUUGAUUUAAUUUUAUGUGAUUUUGAAACAUUAUUUGAACAAUGAUCUUUUCAAAUAUUUUCUGGCUAUGCAGUUUCCCUCAGUUGAAGGAAAAUGGCUGCCUGAUUUAAAAGGGGGGUUUCUUGGCAUAUGUUUCAAUCUCUUGGCUUAUGAUUCUAUUUUUGUAUUUUAGAGCGUAUGGAUCUUGCCAUAAUCUGUGCAAUGCUUCCUUAUGCAGACACAUUCUAAUCUUUUUGGAAGGAGAACAUGCUGCUUCAAAGCGGGGGUUUGAGUGGUUUUCGAUUGAUUUAAUUUUAUGUGAUUUUGAAACAUUAUUUGAACAAUGAUCUUUUCAAAUAUUUUCUGGCUAUGCAGUUUCCCUCAGCUGAAGGAAAAUGGCUGCCUGAUUUAAAAGGGGGUUUCUUGGCAUAUAUUUCAAUCUCUUGGCUUAUGAUUCUAUUUUUGUAUUUUAGAGCGUAUGGAUCUUGCCAUAAUCUGUGCAAUGCUUCCUUAUGCAGACACAUUCUAAUCUUUUUGGAAGGAGAACAUGCUGCUUCAAAGCGGGGGUUUGAGUGGUUUUUCGAUUGAUUUAAUUUUAUGUGAUUUUGAAAC
rnacentral:lncRNA from 1 species